AACGAACGCUGGCGGCAUGCCUAACACAUGCAAGUCGAACGGAUGCAGCAAUGCAUCAGUGGCAGACGGGUGAGUAACACGUGGGAAUCUACCCAGUAGCCUGGAAUAACCGCGGGAAACUGCGGCUAAUACCGGAUACGCCCCUCGGGGGAAAGGAGCAAUCCACUAUUGGAGGAGCCCGCGUCCGAUUAGCUAGUUGGUGAGGUAACGGCUCACCAAGGCGAUGAUCGGUAGCUGGUUUGAGAGAACGACCAGCCACACUGGGACUGAGACACGGCCCAGACUCCUACGGGAGGCAGCAGUGGGGAAUAUUGGACAAUGGGGGAAACCCUGAUCCAGCAAUGCCGCGUGGGUGAUGAAGGCCUUCGGGUUGUAAAGCCCUUUUGGCGGGGACGAUGAUGACGGUACCCGCAGAAGAAGCCCCGGCUAACUUCGUGCCAGCCGCCGCCGUAAAAC
rnacentral:rRNA from 1 species